rnacentral:misc_RNA from 1 species
UUCCAUCUGUAUGUCCUGGGGGAAAUCAAUUAGGGGGGUGUCGGAAGAAUCACCUAGCCCUUCUUCAGUUCCGUUCUCCAUCGAUGCUCGUGAGGCAGCUUCAAGUUGCCACAUCUCUGCAAGGGCUAGCUGCAACCUGGCCUUGGCUGCCGAUAUUUCGACAAUGGGUAGAGGGUAGUUGGAACCGAGUUCGAUUCCUGCAGCUUGUAGUACGGAUUCGGGUGCAUCCCAGGGAUGGUGGAUCCAGUCGGUGGGUAACCUGGCCAGUUCAGGGAGCCAUCGCCGCACGUACUCUCCGUUCG